rnacentral:rRNA from 1 species
UACGGGGGGGGCAAGCGUUGUUCGGAAUUACUGGGCGUAAAGGGCUCGUAGGCGGCCAACUAAGUCGGACGUGAAAGCCCUCGGCUUAACCGAGGAACUGCGUCCGAUACUGGGUGGCUUGAGGUUGGGAGAGGGAUGCGGAAUUCCAGGUGUAGCGGUGAAAUGCGUAGAUAUCGUAAGGAAGACCAGUGGCGAAGGCGGGUCUCUGGACAGUUCCUGACGCUGAGGCACGAAGGCCAGGGGAGCAAACGGG